AUUGAACGCUGGCGGCAUGCCUUACACAUGCAAGUCGAACGGCAGCACGGGGCAACCUGGUGGCGAGUGGCGAACGGGUGAGUAAUGCAUCGGAACGUGCCAUUGAGUGGGGGAUAACGGAGCGAAAGUUGCGCUAAUACCGCAUAUUCUGUGAGCAGGAAAGCAGGGGACCGCAAGGCCUUGCGCUCUUUGAGCGGCCGAUGUCAGAUUAGCUAGUUGGUGAGGUAACGGCUUACCAAGGCGACGAUCUGUAGCGGGUCUGAGAGGAUGAUCCGCCACACUGGAACUGAGACACGGUCCAGACUCCUACGGGAGGCAGCAGUGGGGAAUUUUGGACAAUGGGCGCAAGCCUGAUCCAGCCAUGCCGCGUGAGUGAAGAAGGCCUU
rnacentral:rRNA from 1 species